rnacentral:rRNA from 1 species
UACGAAGGGUCCUAGCGUUGUUCGGAAUUAUUGGGCGUAAAGAGCACGUAGGUGGCUUAGUAAGUCAGGUGUGAAAGCCCAGGGCUCAACCCUGGAAGUGCACUUGAAACUGCAUAGCUUGAGUACGGAAGAGGUAAGCGGAAUUCCUGGUGUAGUGGUGAAAUACGUAGAUAUCAGGAGGAACAUCGGUGGCGAAGGCGGCUUACUGGUCCUGUACUGACACUGAGGUGCGAAAGCAUGGGGAUCAAACAGG